CCUACGGGGGGCAGCAGUGAGGAAUAUUGGUCAAUGGGCGAAAGCCUGAACCAGCCAAGUAGCGUGCAGGAUGACGGCCCUACGGGUUGUAAACUGCUUUUAUCCGGGAAUAACGCGCCUUACGUGUAGGGCUUUGCAUGUACCGUAUGAAUAAGGACCGGCUAAUUCCGUGCCAGCAGCCGCGGUAAUACGGAAGGUCCGGGCGUUAUCCGGAUUUAUUGGGUUUAAAGGGAGCGUAGGCCGGAUGUCAAGCGUGCUGUGAAAUGUCCGGGCUCAACCCGGGCCUUGCAGCGCGAACUGGUGUGCUUGAGUCGGCGGAAAGCAGGCGGAAUGCGUGGUGUAGCGGUGAAAUGCUUAGAUAUGACGAAGAACCCCGAUUGCGAAGGCAGCUUGCUGCAGCGGAACUGACGCUGAUGCUCGAAAGCGUGGGUAUCGAACAGGAUUAGAUACCCGUGUAGUC
rnacentral:rRNA from 1 species